GAUGAACGCUGGCGGCGUGCCUAAUACAUGCAAGUCGAGCGAACGGACGAGAAGCUUGCUUCACUGAUGUUAGCGGCGGACGGGUGAGUAACACGUGGAUAACCUACCUAUAAGACUGGGAUAACUUCGGGAAACCGGAGCUAAUACCGGAUGAUAUUUUGAACCGCAUGGUUCAAAAGUGAAAGACGGUCUUGCUGUCACUUAUAGAUGGAUCCGCGCUGCAUUAGCUAGUUGGUAAGGUAACGGCUUACCAAGGCAACGAUGCAUAGCCGACCUGAGAGGGUGAUCGGCCACACUGGAACUGAGACACGGUCCAGACUCCUACGGGAGGCAGCAGUAGGGAAUCUUCCGCAAUGGGCGAAAGCCUGACGGAGCAACGCCGCGUGAGUGAUGAAGGUCUUCGGAUCGUAAAACUCUGUUAUUAGGGAAGAACAUAUGUGUAAGUAACUGUGCACAUCUUGACGGUACCUAAUCAGAAAGCCACGGCUAACUACGUA
rnacentral:rRNA from 1 species